rfam:Methanosarcina sp. Ant1 MSANT_contig000167, whole genome shotgun sequence.
GGGGGUAGGUCCCCCGGAUUCGCAUUACAGGAUGUGAGUUCAAACCACCAUAAGCUGCUUUGGUCAAAAACCACGGUGGUUGUGUGCCAAGAAAGCUCAUUUACGCAUCAGU